rnacentral:misc_RNA from 1 species
UGAAGGUGCAGAAUAGCUCGAAGAGAAGGACUCCAAGUCGGUAAACGUCUGAAGCACAAGAGCUUGGAGCACCAGCAAUUUCUUCUGGACUAGUGUACCAAUUGGUUUCCAUGAGCAACAUUUGUUUCAUUGGGAAGGUGUGCUGUUUUUCUUCAAGUCUGUUCAUACUAGCUUCUAAAGUCUGAACCAUAUGGCCUGAGCUUGACUGUAAGCAACAGUUUUCAGAUAAUCCGAUUGAAGCUUUUACAGAAAUCUUCUCAAGCUGAGAACUAUGAAUCCCCAGCCCUUCCGAUUUAUGAGGCAAAA